GCACUUCAAAGGACGUCGUAGUGCUGUCUAUUCGCGUGCGUAUAAGUAUCAGUAGUUGAAGUCUGGAGGGGGGCAUGUGUGCAUUGACAUACUCCCAGAAGGUCAUAACCACCGCGAUCGCGAUCUCCAAUCUGGAAAAAAAAAGUGACGGGCGCGACUUUCCAGAGCAACACCCACCAGAUCGAGCACGCACUCGUUGCCAUGUCCAACCAUUUCGACUCCGAUGACGAGCCCAUCUUCACGCCGAAGGAGGGCCCUUCAAGAAACUCGUCGGAUGUGGUGGAGGCGGAGCUGCACCCGAAUACCGUAGUGCCUGCCAACACCAGUACAAGCACUAAGGACCCUUUGACGUCUUCCAAUGCGACUACGGUUAGGCACGAGAGCAAGAUCCCACCACCACCGCUGCCUCUUCAGGUACCAGAGCCAUCGACACCUGCCACAGUAAUCUUGGCGGGGCCACCUGGCGCCAAAUCGAAGUCGUUCUCGGUGCACAACAAACUGUCUCCCAAGCAGGCCGCGACCAGCACCCCCAUAGCCACGCUGAGGAGCGCCGCGGAGGCCCGUGGUGCGCCCGGCAAGCGGAUCGCCAACGGCAUCGACUGCAGCGACUCUUUUGUCAACGACGAUGACGUCUCACUGGACAGCUGCGGUAUCCCCCGCUACAAUGCCCGGUAUCCACAGGGCGGCAGUGGCAGCCACGGCGACGUGAGUGUGCCGUGGAACCUGCGUCCGCCCAUGCGGCGCAUCAAUUGCACCUUCUUCGACUUCCUGCGCGCGCCUCAGUUUUGGCGUCAGUUUGAGUUUGCUAUUCGCAUAACGGUUCUGGGGGUACUUGUACCUGGCGCGCUGAUCGCAGCGGAACUGCCUGGUAGCCCCUUCGUCUCCCCUUUCAUGGUCUUCGCAUCGAUCUUGCUUGCAACGAAGCGGACGGCUGGUGAGGUCAUUGCAUACAUUUUUAUCUGGAUUCGUGCUGGCUGCUUUUGGCUACCGCUGUCCGUCAUCGCUGGUGCGCUGAGCCUUGGCCACCACUUUACUGGAUGGUGCAUCUACUACUCCGCUAUGCUGUUUAUCAUCGCCACCUUCACCGAGGGCGUCGUGCGCCGUAUCUGCCUGCUUCUCUUCAACAGCUGCACGGUCGGGCUCCUGGUCGACAGCAACCGCGGUGCUGUCUUUCCGUGCCGUGUCAUGGUGGAUUGGUGCAUUGGCACCGGACUUUGCGUCGUCGUCGCCUUCUUUCCAUACCCGCUCUUCUGCAAGCGUGAGGCACAGCGGCUUCUUCGCGACAUCGGCCGCAACACCGCCACGGCGUACCGCGGCCUCGUCUACUCCUUUUGGAGUCCGUCCAACGUGGAGCGCAACAUGGCAAUGUCGAAGGUGCGUAUCAUGACCGACUCCCUUGAUGUGCUGUUGCCGCUGUUUGAGCAUAACCAGAGCUUCUCCUUCUACGAGUUCUUAUUCGAGCCUGCCGAAGUGCGGGAGAUUCGUGCGCUCAAGUUUGCUCUGUUUGAGCGCCUGCGUAUCAACCUCAGCAGCAUGACGCGUGUGCUGGAUAUGGUUGAGGCCAAGCCGAGCGCGAUCGACGACUCCGACCGCUCCAAAGCGUUUGGCGAGCUACUGAACCCCCACCUCAACGCCGUUGCUGAGGUUUUCGACGAACUCUUGGACCUGCUCACCAAAGCCAAAACGCGCAAGGCUCUGCUGGGCCUGCAAGAGCGCUUCGAGUGUUUUGCCGACCGCACCGACGACUUGCAGGACGCGUUCAAGCUGGCGCGUCGCACGAUCUUCUAUGAAUACACCUCUGGCAUCUUGGAGGAGUUCGUUCCGCUUAUGACUUUCUACAUCUUCACGGUGGUCUGCGUCCGCGACACCAUCGACAUCUUCCAGACGAAGGUCAAGGCGCACCACCCAAGUGUCGUGAGCACUAUGGAGCAGAUUUGGAUCAAGACGGCGUGGGAACCACUGAAGGAGAACCUCCACUUCCUCAAGAAGCUCUUCACGGAAUGGAACCGCCGCGAAGUACAGCGCGUUGUCGAGGCCGCUAAGGUGAGCGUGGCGAUGAUUUUGACGAUCGGUUUCUCCUACCUAAUCAAGGUUGACAAGGCCUCUUUCUCUGGUCCGAACAUUAUCGCCUUCGUCUCCGGCUCAAACCCGGUCGAGGCGGUGCAGGAGUCCAUCGUGCGCCUGACCGGCUGCUUGCUGGGGACGGUACUCGGCUUCUUCGCCGGUACUUACUCAGAGACCCCGGUGCAGCGCGUGGCUUCGCUGUGUACCCUGAUCUUCUUCGGUACGUUCCUGCGCUUCGACAAGGAGUACGGCAUCAUGGCCGUGUACGGUAUGUUCGUUCUCAUCCCGCUCAUCUCGAUUGCCGAGACCACGGUGGAGGACACGGUAUCGCGCAUGAACCAGAACACGUUUGGCAUCUUCAUAUACCUCUUCGUGAGCGUGCUGGUGCUGCCGCUGUCGCCCAGCCUUAUCCUGCGCGCGAAGCGGAGCAACGUGCUGCGCUGCAUGGCUUCGGUGGUCUCGAGCAUGAUGGGCCUCUUCAGUGAGCCGCUGGUGAACGACCCCGUCUUGAACAACCACCCCAUCAUGGGGAUUCACGAAACAGAGGAUGAGCAGCUGUCGCAGAACGUGGGUGGCGGAGACGGCCAAUUGCCGUCACGCGGUACGCUCACGAACCGCUCUCUGCACCUGCUGUCCAAGACGGAUACCGCCAUGGUGCAGAUUGACAAACAGCUGGUCGAACUUAUGCGCCGUCUCAAGAGCACGAAGGAGAUGAUGAAGUUCGCACGGGAUGAACGAACGCUCGUCGAGGUUGACUACCCGAUAAAGGCGUGCGAGCAAACGUACCUGCACAUGUACCGCAUGACGAUGCUUCUCCAGACAAUGUGGAUGAGCUGGAACGUCAUUCGUAGCCAGCGCACGUAUACAGAGGGCACGCGCCGGAUGAUGCGCAACCUGCAGCCUGUGGCCCACGACGUCGCCGGCGCCUUCCAGCGCUUUGUAGACCUCAUGUGCUACAUGAUCCGCGAGCCCUCGAUCAACCUGGAGGGUGACAUUAUGAAGGCCGUCUUCGAUCUGAUUGAAGCCGCCAACGUGCUGCACUGUCGCAAGAGCCAGAUUAUGCUCAUGCUCAUCAACCAGUCGGUGCAGGACUACGCAGAGGCAAACGAUGCCGGCGACAUCUCGGGCGGUGGUAGUUCUAAGAUCGCGGAUCCCGGCACUCGCCAGCAGCCAGACCUCCGCGACUUGCAAGAGCGUGGGCAGAGGUCCAUAAAAGGAGCCGUGGCAGUGAGCACAUCUGGUGAACACUCGCAGCAGCUGCGCUCACAGCCGCACUCUCCUGGGCUCCGCCAUUCACCUUGGCUCGGUUACGAAGCCUCACGGCACAGCGCGCACCCGUUUGCAGCCCUGACGCUUAGGCCUAGCAUGCCGCGCGCCGCCACUUUCGACGGCCUCUUCAGCCACUUCACACAUCUCACCCCUGUUACAUCGCCCACGGGUCAGGGCUACAACUUUCAGGUGCUCGCCUCGGAGCGCAAUGUAUCUGUGGUGCCGUACCUGCGCAGGGCGGGCACAAAAGAGGCGUCAGAGCACAGCAGCCACCAAACUAGUCCCGUGCACCUCCCGGCAACCUUUCAGUUUCCUCUGACGUCGGAGGACGUCGAGGGACUGCACUCUUUCACGCUGUCAAUGGAGAUGUUUGCCAACGAAACGAAGUUGCUCAUGGUGAGCAUUGGCGCGAUGCUUGACAACUUGCGCUCUAAGCUGUGAGAAAGGACGGCCAGCCGCUUGAGGCGAGUUGAAGGAGGGGGAGAAGGGCGAAGAAUACCUGUCUCGCAGAUACUGGCCUUUCCCUCCAACUCUCCUCGAGCAAUGCCAGUCUCAUCUCUCCAUCAAAAAAAAAGUCAACGUCGACGAGGAAGGGCGAUGACACACAAGAAGGAAACAGAGGAGGGAGCUCUGAAGGAGGGGCCGCGUGCAUCUGUGCGCCGACUCGACAGCUCAGCAUGGCACACGCUUAGUCCCCGAGGUAGACACAGGGGGAGAUGCAGGAGAGGAAGGACGGCGAAGCUAUGGGGGAGGAGGAGGGAAGGAGCGGUCGCAUCGUCGUGUGUGGUGCCGCCACAUUUUUUGUCGAAUUGCUCCCUCCAUUCGCCUCAUGCUUUACCUCUUUCAUAUUUGUUUUUCGAAGCCCUUUACAAGCAAGAAAGAAAGGAAAGUGGCGCUUUUUUGUGCUUCAUCCCCUCCCCUCCCCAUUUCCCUCAGCGCGAAGUACGUGUUGUGUAUGUUUCCUUUUCCCCCUUUUCCCAACCGCCUGCAUUGUUUUAUCUUUUUAUUGUUGGCUUUCAGUUUGUAUGUUAGUCUCUGUGUGUCCAAGGUGAUCCUCGCUUUCAUUUAGUGUGUAUGUGUGAGUGCAUCUCACGGCUACGAUGAUGUUUGUAUUUCUUUAUGUGUGCAUGCUUGCAAGCGCGUUGUCGGUGUUGUCUUGUGCUACGUUUGCGUGUGAAAGGAGCAGCUUGUGCGCUCGCGUGAGGAACUUCGUUUUUGCGCUGUAAGUGGGCGGGAUGAAGAGCAACUGGGACACGAAGAAUGUAGACAAUGGGGCUUUGCUUGGAAAGGUCACUGAAUAUGACGACGCAACUCAUUUUUCAGGGCUGCAGCUGGGCAUGGGACUCUGCCUCCAGUCCCAAACCUCAGCAUGUUUGUUAUUUCUUAGCUGCGUUUGUGCGCCUUUUUCCCUCCAGCGGAGGUAUCGUGGCGCGAUUCGCACGUUGUUGUCUCUUGAGGAUAUGUGUAGGUGUCCGCAGUAUCAUUUUUUUUUCUUCCCAUCUGCAUCGCUCUUCUGUGCUUCCGUUGGUGCCUAGAAAGCGGCGACUCCAUCCACAGACACGUACCUACCCACGCACGUACCAAUCUCGAUCUGCUUCCCCCGCUGUCACAAUUCUCUUCCGUUUCCUCCACGCAUUACGGUUUCUUCGUUUGACUCCUUGAACCUUGUACACGCAGCGCUGUUCCUGCACUUGAGUAUCGCGCCCACCCUCUCACCGUAGCCGCGCAUGUACAGGUCCUUUACGCGCACGGCACAGUCCUUCAGGCAGGCUCGCCUGCCUCUAUUACAUAACGCGAAACAAAGAAAACAGCAAAAGUAAACAGCAACAAAAAGAAACCAAUGAGUUAAUGUUGUAGCCGUCAAGGCUCCAUUUUUCUCUUGCAUGUUUUUUUUAUGCUUCGAUUCAGCCGGUUCCCUUUUCCCCAUACCCCUCCCCCUUCCGCUCGUUCUUUCUUUUUUUUUCGCUUCUCCUUUUACUUCUCUGAUGUUGGCGGGCUAUACCUCCCCGUGUGUGAUCAGGGUCCGAGCGCCCCCACUCUGCAUGGAUGCCGAACCACCCCCACUGCCCUAUCCCUGCCAACGCGGCGCCACUGAUGGUGGCGACAGGGUCCAGCGCCCACGACGUGGCGUGGCGUCGGGGCGACCUGCGAGGCGGGUGGUGGGCAGAGUUCGAGGCCGCGGCCGUGCUCAUGUGACUGAGUCGGCGCAUUGCUGUGACGCGCGUGUGUAGCGCUGCUUCGAGCAACGAGGUGUGGGGCCUGCGGCAGCCCGGGGUCGAGUGGAGUUUCACUCAUGCAGUAUGACUGAAAGGAUGGGUUGAAUGAAUACCCUUGCAUUCCAUUUCCCGAUGAAUAAAAG
rnacentral:misc_RNA from 1 species